GGGAGUGCUCGCAAGAGAACCGGAACACAGGUGCUGCAUGGCUGUCGUCAGCUCGUGUCGUGAGAUGUUGGGUUAAGUCCCGCAACGAGCGCAACCCUUGUCAUUAGUUGCUACGAAAGGGCACUCUAAUGAGACUGCCGGUGACAAACCGGAGGAAGGUGGGGAUGACGUCAAGUCCUCAUGGCCCUUAUGGGUAGGGCUUCACACGUCAUACAAUGGUCGGGACAGAGGGUCGCCAACCCGCGAGGGGGAGCCAAUCCCAGAAACCCGAUCGUAGUCCGGAUUGUAGUCUGCAACUCGACUACAUGAAGUCGGAAUCGCUAGUAAUCGCGGAUCAGCAUGUCGCGGUGAAUACGUUCCCGGGUCUU
rnacentral:rRNA from 1 species